GAUGAACGCUGGCGGCAUGCCUAACACAUGCAAGUCGAGCGAUACGCCUUCGUGCUCUGACCGGCGCACGGGUACGUCGCGCGAAUCCAAUCUUCCUUUUAUCCGAAGUCUCGCCCGGAGAAAUUAAGAUUAAUACCCUUUGGUAUACCAGCACGGCAUCGUCCACUUAUUAAACCUACUGCGGUUAACGAUUAGUAUGCGUGCUAUUCGCUAGUUGGAGAGGUAACUGCUCCCCAAGGCGACGAUAGAUAGGGGUUCGGAGAGGGAUGUCCCCCCUACGGGUACUGAGAUACGGACAAGACUACUACGGGAGGCAGCAGUGAGGAAUAUUAGACAAUGGUCGGAAGACUGAUCCAGCCAGGCCGCGUGCAGGAUGACGGCCUUAUGGGUUGUAAACUGCUUUUGGAAGGGAAGAAUAAGGAGUACGGGUAUUUUGAUGACGGUACCUGACGAAUAAGCUUCGGCUAACUCCGUG
rnacentral:rRNA from 1 species